AACGAACGCUGGCGGCAUGCCUAACACAUGCAAGUCGAACGAGAAAGUUCUUCGGAAUGAGUAAAGUGGCAAACGGGUGAGUAACACGUAGAUAACCUGUCUAUUGGAGGGGGAUAACUGAAAGAAAUUUCAGCUAAUACCGCGUAAGUACUUAUGAUGAGAUGAUUAAGUAGAAAGUGUGCCUCUGUUUACAAGCACAUGCCGAUAGAGGGGUCUGCGUAGCAUUAGCUAGUUGGUAGGGUAAAGGCUUACCAAGGCGACGAUGCUUAACCGGGUUGAGAGACUGUACGGUCACACUGGAACUGAGAAACGGUCCAGACUCCUACGGGAGGCAGCAGUGGGGAAUCUUGCGCAAUGGGCGAAAGCCUGACGCAGCGAUGCCGCGUGAGUGAGGAAGGCCUUCGGGUUGUAAAGCUCUGUCGGGGUGGAAAAAUAGCUUAGGGUCUAAUAGGCCUUGAGAAUGAUGGUACACCUAAAGGAAGCACCGGCUAACUUCGUG
rnacentral:rRNA from 1 species